rnacentral:rRNA from 1 species
CGGAUUCCGUGAACGCAGCUAACGCAUUAAGUUCCCCGCCUGGGCCCUUUAAANGCAAGGCUAAAACUCAAAGGAAUUGACGGGGACCCGCUUAAGCGGCGGAGCAUGCGGAUUAAUUCGAUGCAACGCGAAGAACCUUACCAAGGCUUGACAUACACGAGAACACCCUAGAAAUAGGGGACUCUUUGGACACUCGUGAACAGGUGGUGCAUGGUUGUCGUCAGCUCGUGUCGUGAGAUGUUGGGUUAAGUCCCGCAACGAGCGCAACCCUCGUUCUAUGUUGCCAGCACGUAAUGGUGGGAACUCAUGGGAUACUGCCGGGGUCAACUCGGAGGAAGGUGGGGAUGACGUCAAAUCAUCAUGCCCCUUAUGUCUUGGGCUUCACGCAUGCUACAAUGGCCGGUACAAAGGGCUGCAAUACCGUGAGGUGGAGCGAAUCCCAAAAAGCCGGUCCCAGUUCGGAUUGAGGUCUGCAACUCGACCUCAUGAAGUCGGAGUCGCUAGUAAUCGCAGAUCAGCAACGCUGCGGUGAAUACGUUCCCGGGUCUUGUACACACCGCCCGUCAAGUCAUGAAAGUCGGUAACACCUGAAGCCGGUGGCCCAACCCUUGUGGAGGGAGCCGUCGAAGGUGGGAUCGGUAAUUAGGACUAAGUCGUAACAAGGU